GCUGGCUUUAGGAUCUGGACAGCCCAAUGGCAGAGCAGUGCUGGGUGUGUCCCGCGGGUCAUGGAGGCGUGGCCUUGGGACCUGUGUCUGGUCCCUGUCCUCUUCCUCUCUGCCUUUUUUCCCUGCUCAGCUUCUUGGCUGUCAUAAACUAAGUAGCUUUGUUCCACCAAGCCCUUCCACCUUGGAGCCAGUAGAUCAUGAACAAAUUCCCUUAAAAUGUGAGACAAAUCAAAGGUCUCCAAGUUAUGAGUGCUAGGAACUGGGUCAAGCAAUGGGAAAGGUAAGGUAACAUAGUCACGCAUCCCUUUGCUCAAUCAACAGUUAUUGAGCAUGUUCUUCAUUCUAGGCAAAAGAGGACAAUGAACAGAAGAAAAACCUUUGCUCUCACAGAGUACCAUUCCUGUAUUAAUCACUUCCCCAUCACUGAGAGAUAUACUUGACACCUGCUUCUUAAAGCGGGUGUUGUGGUUUCUACCUCAACAUCUCAGCAGAGCCUCAUGCACUCAGGUGGAUCUUUGGGGAGGUGACUGGAUCACAGGGGUGCAAUAUUAGUCCAUUGAUGAGGUGAAGCCUGCCUGGUUGGAGGAGGUGGGUCACUGGGGGCGUAGCCUGGGAAGAUUUAUCUCCCUCCAUGCUCCCUUGAUCUUUGUUCUGAUUUCUGCGACCGUGCCAUGGACUGUUUCUCUGCCGUGCCACCCUGCCUUGGAACCAGCUGACUAUGGAAUGAAACUUCUACAAACUUCCACAGAUGGCUGUCUCCAAUGCAGAAAUGGUGGUGGAUGGGCCUGGCAGAGGAAAAGCUGCUCAACUCAUGCCAGCUGGGAAGAAGAGAGGAGUCAGGGACAGCACUACACCUCCAGUGGCUCACUUCUUCCAUCCUCGCCCUACCUUCUAACAGCACCUUCUGCAAUGAACUCAUAAAUAGGUUAAUCCACCAAUAAAAAUAAUGCUCCCAUAAUCGUCAUCUUCC
rnacentral:lncRNA from 1 species